CGGUGGAGCAUGUGGUUUAAUUCGAUGCAACGCGAGAACCUUACCUGGCUUGACAUCCCAGGAAUCCUGCAGAGAUGCGGGAGUGCCUUCGGGAACCUGGAGACAGGUGCUGCAUGGCUGUCGUCAGCUCGUGUCGUGAGAUGUUGGGUUAAGUCCCGCAACGAGCGCAACCCUUGUCCUAUGUUGCCAGCGGUUCGCCGGGGACUCAUAGGAGACUGCCGGGGAUAACUCGGAGGAAGGUGAGGACGACGUCAAGUCAUCAUGCCCCUUAUGUCCAGGGCUGCACGCAUGCUACAAUGGUCGGUACAACGGGCUGCGAUCCCGCGAGGGUGAGCGAAUCCCUAAAAACCGGCCUCAGUUCGGAUUGGAGUCUGCAACUCGACUCCAUGAAGUCGGAGUCGCUAGUAAUCGCGGAUCAGCUAAGCCGCGGUGAAUGCGUUCUCGGGGAUU
rnacentral:rRNA from 1 species